ACCUUUCUAUAUCAAGCCAAACAAUGCUAAAUUUCCUGGCCGUUCUGUUUUAUGUAAAUAAGUGUGAUACAGGUCAUGCUCUAUACUACUAAUAAUCUUUGGACAUAUUACUUGCUCUCUCUCUCUCUCUCUCUCUCUCUCUCUCUCUCUCUCUCUCUCUCUCUCUCUGUGCGUAGUCUUGUUGUUUAUGAUGUAGUCUGCUCAGUCGGUUCCUUAAUUAGAUGACUGGUUGCUUUUGUGCUUGGCCUACCG
rnacentral:lncRNA from 1 species